CAGGUAACCAAAUUUUUUAUUUUGUAAUCUAUCUGCUUAUUAUAAACUUGUGACAGGAUACGGGACGAUGUCGAGAAGGAAGAUGCUUUCAGAGGUUUAUGUGCAAUGGUUAGAGCAAACCCAUCUGGAGCUUUAAGUUCUCUCGUUUUCAUGUGCAAAGCUAUUGCUAGUUGGCAUGAAAUAAGGAGUGAAGAUCUGCACAAAGAAAUUUGCCAGGUUUUGCAUGGCUAUAAACAAAUGCUAAAAAACGGAGCAUGGGAACAAUGUAUGUCUACCUUGGAGCCACCCGUGAAGGACAAGCUAUUGAAGUAUCAAGUAUAAUAUUCCUUCAGUAUUUCGUGUUUCUGCUGAGCAAGUACAUCUCCAAUGAAUAGCCUCUUCAAAACAUCAUCAGCACUUGUAUUGUUGUCAUUUUGAGUUGGUUGUAGGGAGCCCACGUUUCACAUAGGAGCCUUUUUUGAUAGUAUUUACCAACAUAUGUAUUCUCAUUACAGCUCAAAGCUUUUCAUACCUCCUGUCCUUUCAAUGGAUUGACUUUGUGAAAUACCAUUUUAUCGGGAACUAAGGAGAAGCAUGGCCCGGAGAAUUCAAUUUGCUGUAUAGGGAUGUGCUAUUUAAAAUUUCAGAUUCUUCUCUCCCCAGGCUAAACGUGGAAGAGAAGGAUAUCUUCUUAUUCGAUGAGUUUGUUUCAUGUUUUUGCCUUGUACCUGGGGUUUAAAAGUAACUUUCUUAAGGUUCCUUGGGUAGGUUACAGUCCAAAAGUUCAUCGAAGUUUUGAUAGAAAAGGUGUCUAUGUUUAUUAAUUACUCUCUUCCACCCUGAAAGUGUAAUCUUUUACUUGAAGGCCGAGCAAAAUAGAUGGUGUUGCCUAGGGUUCAAUUAUAUAGAACAAUAAAUGUGCUGUUAGCCAUUGUGAGUUUUGAUUCUAAACGAAUUUUAUUGUUUUGGAAUUGAGAACUAAAAUUGAACUCUCGAGUGAUUUUUAUGGCUAUUAUUUUCACUGCCUACAUUGUGGUGACUUUUGGUGGUUUA